CUUGUCCCGCCUCGCUCUGCACGAAUGGGGCUGUAAACACACGUUCCUCCGGGCAGAAAUCAAAGUGAAUUCAUCCUCACAACCAAGUCGGAGCCUCCUGCGUCAAGUAACGCGUGAUAUUUAACCAAGAACUCUUUGGUGCCUUUUUGCGUGCGAUUUACUUCCCAAACCUUGGAAUGCAACGCGUACCGGGACAAGCUGGUGCAGCCGGGAUAGCUGGUGCGAAGAGCGGUGGGAAGGCGGGCCGGCACUCCCAGCGGGGAGCCGGACGAGGCGCUCGCGGGUGUCGGAUAUUCUUGAAGCCCGGGAGGAAGCCGCUGAGCAGGAUGUUUGAGGUGAUGGUACCCGGGUCAGCGUGUCUCCCCUGCAGAGUUUCACCACCCAGGACAACUCCACAAAGGUUCGAGACCAGCUUGCUGUCCUCAUCUGCUGGUGGAGGCCGCGUCUGGGUUUGAAGAUGACGGUGCUCUUUCCCCGAUGUGCCCUCGGGGCGAGGUCACCCGGGACCCCGGCGGUCACCUCCAUGAAGACUGUUCCUGCACUCACCUCCACUCUGCAGACUGAGGAAGACUCCCAGCAGGAGCCGAAGAACACAAGGAGUUCUGUCACUGUUUAGAUAUUUUGUCAUUUUGAAUCAAAAUAUUGAAAACAAAUUAAA